GCACAAGCGGUGGAGCAUGUGGUUUAAUUCGAAGCAACGCGAAGAACCUUACCAGGUCUUGACAUCCCGCUGACCGGUAUAGAGAUAUACCUUUCCCUUCGGGGACAGCGGUGACAGGUGGUGCAUGGUUGUCGUCAGCUCGUGUCGUGAGAUGUUGGGUUAAGUCCCGCAACGAGCGCAACCCUUGAUCUUAGUUGCCAGCAUUUAGUUGGGCACUCUAAGGUGACUGCCGGUGACAAACCGGAGGAAGGUGGGGAUGACGUCAAAUCAUCAUGCCCCUUAUGACCUGGGCUACACACGUGCUACAAUGGAUGGUACAAAGGGCUGCAAGACCGCGAGGUUCAGCCAAUCCCAUAAAACCAUUCUCAGUUCGGAUUGCAGGCUGCAACUCGCCUGCAUGAAGCUGGAAUCGCUAGUAAUCGCGGAUCAGCAUGCCGCGGUGAUACGUUCCCGGGC
rnacentral:rRNA from 1 species